rnacentral:rRNA from 1 species
UGAACGCUGGCGGUAGGCCUAACACAUGCAAGUCGAACGGCAGCACAGUAAGAGCUUGCUCUUACGGGUGGCGAGUGGCGGACGGGUGAGGAAUACAUCGGAAUCUACUUUUUCGUGGGGGGUAACGUAGGGAAACUUACGCUAAUACCGCAUACGACCUACGGGUGAAAGCAGGGGAUCUUCGGACCUUGCGCGAUUGAAUGAGCCGAUGUCGGAUUAGCUAGUUGGCGGGGUAAAGGCCCACCAAGGCGACGAUCCGUAGCUGGUCUGAGAGGAUGAUCAGCCACACUGGAACUGAGACACGGUCCAGACUCCUACGGGAGGCAGCAGUGGGGAAUAUUGGACAAUGGGCGCAAGCCUGAUCCAGCCAUACCGCGUGGGUGAAGAAGGCCUUCGGGUUGUAAAGCCCUUUUGUUGGGAAAGAAAAGCAGCAGGUUAAUACCCCGCUGUUCUGACGGUACCCAAAGAAUAAGCACCGGCUAACUUCGUG